rnacentral:lncRNA from 1 species
AUGUGACUGAUCACACCUGCCAAGUCUUUUAUUACCUAGGAAGGUUCUGGGAAGUAGGACGUACAUCUCGGUUGGAGUGGUGUUAUUCUAUUGGCCGGAAUCUCUUUACAUGUUUUAAAAGUCGAUAUUGGUUAUGCUGAAGGCUGCUUCCAGCAAGAGCUGUGUUUAUAUAAGUAGGCUCAGCUCCUUCUCUCGUUCUUUUUCUGUUGGCAGCUGUGGUUACUUGGAAAGCAAACUUGACUUAGAAGACUGGGAUUCAGGCUCGGAUACUUACUGGGUGACCUUGGAAAAGUGAUUAACAUUUGCUCAUCGCAUCAGUCUCCUGGGUUGUCAGAGAAAGCAGAGUUGUCAUGUAGAUCAAAGGAGUCCACGGCUUGAAUUCACUUUCUAGAUAGCAAAGUGCUAUGCUACACAAGGGAAGAAUAGAUUGUUUAUUACAGCCUGUUACUAGAUCUGGGUGAAGAGUAAUCAUGAAAAAGGAAUUACAAGAAAGGAAAGAAAUAGAGAUAAUUGUGGCUGUUGAGUUAUGUCUUGGUUUACAACAUAUUCUCUGUUAUUGUGACUUUUGGCAAAACCCUCUUAUUGCCACGUGUUUUCCUUUUCCAAGGAAGCAGAUGUUACUAACAGACUGAUCAGUACCCAGUUUUAUUUAUUAUAAAAAGAGUCUUUUCCAGUUGCAAGUGGCCUCAUGUGCCUCUUAUUCCAGCCCUGUGGUUGGCAGAGACAGGAGGGUCACUGGGGCACGCUGGCUGCCAGACUAGCUUCAGGUCCAGUGAGAGACCCUGUCUCAAGGGAAUAAGGCAGAGAGCGAUAAAGGAGGACCAGGCCUCUGGCCUCUGCAUACAUGAGCAUGGAUGUGGGCAUCCACACCUCUGAAAGCAUAUAUAACACACCGCCACUCCCUCCCCUUCCAUGAUCAUGGUCUGUUGAUCUCCACUGGGGAAGGAACAUUGAUCUUCACUGGGGAAGGAACACCCUCCUCUUUCCUUGGAAAUACAGGCUUGACUGCAAGCUUACGAAUAGGGUCUUUUAAAAGUAGAAGGAUCUAACUUCAUCCUAGAGAAGGUCAGAUGUAAGGUUCCCCUUUUCACCCUGAACAUCCUGUUACUGCAACGCUCAAGCGUGUUUCUAGGUUUCAGCUGCAGGCAGCGGACAAGCCUGGCCAGGCAGACUCUCAUCCAGAAGAAUGCGGUAAAGUUAUUCCCCCUCCCACUCCUCCCCCAUUCCUAGGCUUUGCUUUAAAUAACAAAUGUAAAAAUGGCCUCCGUGGUGUACACUCCCCAGCUUAUUGAAGCUAAUACACUUAGGUAGACUGGAAAACAGCUUUCUGCAAGUCUAACUUCCUCCUUCUGGUGAGUUUUUCUGUCUUUUAGAGAUAUGUCUAGAUUGUACAUUUAUAGUAGCCUUUAUAAAUUACAAAGUUAAAACAAAUGAAACAUAGUGUUCUUUUGCUACAGUGUGAAUUUAGAGUAAAGAUUUUUCUUUAAUGAGCAUGUAUCUUCCGACAGAAUCAGUCAUCUCCUGGUUCAGAACUGUGGGAUUGGAGCACCUUAGGAAUACAUACUUUUAUCUAGUUCUUUUUUAUCGAUUAACAUAUAGCUAAUAAUAUCUUAUUUAAUAUCAGUAACAUUUGACCAACCAGUUUCACAUGAUCCCUUUAAAUCCUACUUCUCACAGUUUGAUCCGACUCAUGUCCAUUCAUUCGCUCAAGACUGGGGUUGAUUUUAUUUUAUUUUUCUUUUCGAAUCUCCAGUAAAGGGAUUUUGUUUGUAACUGUUUGAAGUUCUCCGGAUCACUUCCUCCCCAACACUAGCAGGAAACAAUCCAGCAUUGAGAGAGCAGUCGGCUCACACAAGCCUGUGUUCUUUGUGCUGUGUUCCUGCAGAACCUCGGAGAUGGUGGCUGGUGGGAUGAGGGGGGAAGAGUCUGAAUAAGGCUAAAUAAACAGUGCUGGUACCCAGAAAAAUGAGCUCCAGCCUGUUUCUUCCGGAUACACUUUGCUGACUCUUCUUGUUUAUCUUUAGAGGAUAGCUGUCUUAGGUAAACAAUGUUUCCAGAUAGUUCUGUGGAAAUUAGUAACAGCAGCCAGCUUCGGUAGGGACACAUAGAGUAUGAGAGGAGGAGGGGACAUGCACCAGCCAGAUCAGCUGAAUCACCCUGGUGACCAGCAGAAUGACAGCUGACAGCCACAUUGCUCCCAAAGGUGUCCUUCACCAAGAGCAGCAGAGGCCUUGGGCCUCAUUCCCGGCUGCAUCCCUACCAUCUAGACAGAGGAUUUUAAUGAAUGAUCAAAGGGCUUUCUUCCUCUGACCUUGAAAGUUUCACAUAAAUAAUAACUUCUAUUGAGAGGUUUUUUUUUUUUCUUUCUCACCCAAAUUUAUUUUUUACUAAUAUCCAAGUUGAAGUUUUAUUUGGAGUAGAAAACUGCUCGAGGAAGGUUUUUUUUUGGUUUUUUUUGUUUUUUGUUUUUUGUUUUUUGGUUUUUUUUUUUUGGUUUUUCAAGACAGAGUUUCUCUGUUUAAUCCUGGCUGUCCUGGAACUCACCCUGUAGACCUGGCUGGCCUCGAACUCAGAAAUCCACCUGCCGCUGCCUCCCGAGUGCUGGGAUUAAAGGUGUGCACCACCACCGCCCGGCGGGAUGACAUUGUUUUGACAGCUUGUUUUAGCAAACAAAAACCAACAAAUUCUCUAAGGACCCAAAUCAUCUAGUUAUUUACAGAACCCAUAGUAAUGAAUAGGAACCCAAUGGCCGAAAACACGUUUGACUUCUAAGUAGAAGCUUCUCUCGUAUUUCUUUUGGAUAUUUCAGCAUUUCUCAUUUAAAAAGAGUGGUAUAAUCUAGUCCAAAAGAUGUUCUUUAGUCAUAAAGAGAAGAGAAAAAACUAUCUGUUUUAGGGUACCAGGGUAUCUUCAUCUUAAAAUUCAGCAUAAUGUUAAUGAUAGUUUAGUUCUCCAGCAAGCUGAACCCUCAUGUCUGGGCAGUGGCUUGUGAAACACUCUGGAGAGCAUUCGAUACUCACACUGACUGGGUGCUCCUGUUACGGCUUCUGCCCUGAAGGAAACAUGCCCUCCUGGGAGUUUGGUGGGGCACAAAGAACAUAUUUUGGAAGAUUG